rnacentral:tRNA from 1 species
CACUAAGAAGCUUGUAUAGCACUAGCCUUUUAAGCCAGAGACGGAAGCAACACUUACCUUCCCUUAGUGA